UCCUGUCCGGAUGGCACUCAGCAGCAGCAUUCUGAUUCCACUUUAUAAAGGCACUUGUAAAAGAGGACAUCCAGAACUGCUUCAGAAAGUGGCAAGACGGGUGAGCCUGAGCCUCUCGUAACCUGCCGGGGUGUCCUUGGGACAUGGCAGCUGGCUUUUCCCAGAGUGAGGGACCUAAGAAGAGAGAGAGACAGAGAGCCCAAGACCCACCAACCCUGUUAUGGCUAUACCUGCAGAAGCUGCCUACAGAAAGAGCGAGCCCAGACUCCGUGGGACCAACAUA